GACGUCAGUACGUGCUUGAGCCUGCCCGAAAAUGCUCUCCCGUGUUGUUGGAUUUCGAAAGAGCGCAGGACUUUGCGAUGAAAUAAUACAUUUUCGCCCGUGAAGAAAACAAAAAUAAAACGCAUGUUUUUAAACUUAAGUUGUUCGCGUUCCCAUUAAGUGGUGAAACGGUGAUUUUGGGAGACUCCAACGGGAAGUUUGAGUGAUCGUUUUCCCGGAGUGAUGUCGAAUCCUGGGACUCGGAGGAACGGGUCCAGCAUCAAAAUCCGACUGACAGUAUUAUGUGCCAAGAACCUCGCAAAGAAAGACUUCUUUCGCCUGCCAGAUCCAUUUGCCAAGGUUGUGGUGGACGGAUCAGGUCAAUGCCACUCUACAGACACAGUCAAGAGCACACUGGACCCCAAAUGGAAUCAGCACUACGACCUCUACAUUGGAAAGACAGACUCCAUCACCAUCAGUAUAUGGAACCACAAGAAGAUCCAUAAAAGACAGGGGGCGGGCUUCCUGGGCUGCAUACGACUGCUUUCCAACGCCAUCAGCAGGCUAAAAGACACAGGAUACCAGCGUCUAGAUCUAUGUAAGCUGAACCCCUCGGACAGUGACGCAGUGCGGGGGCAGAUAGUAGUGAGCUUACAGACGCGAGACCGUAUCGGCAGCGGAGGCCCUGUGGUGGACUGCAGAGGCCUUUUGGAAAAUGAUGGGCCUGUGUUUGAGGGAUGUUUCAGUGAAGAGCCGCUGCCCUACUCCGACCCCACUGGUGCGGCGGGGGGCGGGAACUGUCGGCUUGACUCACCCAGUCAGGAGGGCCGUCUUCAGUCGCAGCGAAUCAGAGGGCAGGACUCCAGAGGCCAUGGACACACCCCUCAGAACAGACCGCAUGGGCACCAACCGCCCGACCUGCCAGAGGGAUAUGAGCAACGAACAACAGUGCAGGGCCAGGUGUACUUCCUUCACACACAGACAGGCGUCAGCACCUGGCACGACCCUCGGAUACCGCGGGACCUGGCCAGUGUGAGCUGUGAGGAGCUUGGGCCUCUGCCAGUGGGCUGGGAGGUCCGGAGCACCGUGUCAGGCCGGAUCUACUUUGUGGACCACAACAACCGAACAACACAGUUUACAGACCCACGCCUACACACCAUUAUCAGCCAGCAAUCCCAAGCGAAGGAAUCCUCGCAAGCCCCCCCGAUGGAUGUGGGGGGUGAGGAAGGGGGAGGUGGAGGGGUGGGCGGCGGAGGAGAUGGAGAUGUGGCAGCGCGCUACGAGAGAGACUUGGUCCAUAAAUUGAAGCUGCUACGCCACGAGCUGUCCUUGCAGCAGCCUCAAGCAGGACACUGUCGCAUAGAGGUGUCCCGAGAGGAGAUCUUUGAGGAGUCAUAUCGACAAAUAAUGAAGAUGAGGCCCAAGGACUUGAAGAAGCGUCUGAUGGUGAAGUUUAGGGGAGAGGAGGGCCUGGACUACGGUGGGGUGGCCAGGGAGUGGCUGUACCUGCUGUGUCAUGAAAUGUUGAACCCCUAUUACGGCCUGUUCCAGUACUCCACAGACAAUAUCUACACACUACAGAUCAACCCCGACUCCUCCAUCAACCCUGACCACCUGUCAUAUUUCCACUUUGUGGGCCGUGUGAUGGGCCUGGCUGUUUUUCAUGGUCACUACAUCAACGGGAGCUUCACGCUGCCCUUCUACAAACAGCUGCUAGGCAAACCCAUCCAGCUCAACGACCUGGAGACGACCGACCCGGAGUUGCACAAGAGCCUUGUCUGGAUAUUAGAGAAUGACAUCACGUCAGUCCUCGACCACACUUUCUGCGUGGAGCACAACGCCUUUGGGAAGUUCUUGCAACAUGAACUCAAACCUAAUGGCCGCAAUAUCCCUGUCACUGAGGAGAACAAAAAAGAAUACGUCAGACUUUAUGUAAACUGGAGGUUUAUGCGUGGAAUUGAAGCCCAGUUUCUGGCUCUACAAAAGGGAUUCAGUGAACUUAUCCCCCAGCACCUCCUCAAACCUUUCGACCAUAAAGAACUUGAGUUAAUCAUUGGUGGACUGGGAAAAAUAGAUCUUGCAGACUGGAAGACGAACACCCGCCUGAAGCACUGCACAAGUGAAAGCAACGUGGUGCGGUGGUUCUGGCAGGCAGUUGAGGCCUUCAGUGAGGAGAGGAGGGGGCGCCUCCUGCAGUUUGUCACAGGCUCCACCAGGGUCCCCUUACAAGGGUUCAAAGCGCUGCAGGGUGGGUCAGAAACCACACACACACAUACUGUACUCGCAUCAAUCUGAGGAUUGAUAUGUCUCCCACAUACUCGCAGUUCCUAGCAAAAGACAAUUACAGCAAAGGCUUUCAGGAAAAUUCCAGGAAACAAUCCCUACUAUGUUAGAGCCUGAUUAUUGUACAGUUUUGAGGACAUUUAACUUUUGUAUACACAUCCUCACAAGAAAAUAUAGAACACGGAGAUGUGCUAGAUACUUACAGACUUCAUUCAGGGCUACAACUAACUAUUAUGUUCUCAUCAAUUAAUCAGACUAUUUUUUCAAUUAAUCUGUGAAUUGUUAUAUCUAUAAAAUGUCAGGAAAUAGUGAAAAGCUGAAAUCCUAAAGAGUCCUGUUUUGUCCGGCAGUCCAAAACAGAAAGAUAUUUGGUUUACUAUCAAGUAUGAUAAACUAAAACAUCCCAUUUUCCCAUUUGAGAAACUAGCAAAUGUUUGGCCUUUUUGCUGAGACGAUUUAUCGAUUAUCCAAAUAGUUCCCGAUUCAUUCUCUUGUCGAUCGACCUUAACAACUCAUCAACCAAUCGGCACAGUUGUAGAUUAAAUGAUACCCUCUUUGCUUGUAGGGAUGUAGCAAUUAAUUGUUUUACCCCUAUUCAAGAUUCAUUAUGUGUUGAGAAUGAGUCUUUAUUCGACGUUGUUCGACACACUCACAGCCUGCAGCUGCAGAUUGUUCACUUUACCCACAAAGGAUUUGAAUUUUAGUUUACAAAACCAUUUCAGUUAAAACCAGAAUGGAUCUAAAUUGAGAAAAUAUAACUUGUAUCACAAGAUAUGUUGUAACAGGAGGUUUGGGUCAGGAACUGGGCAGCCGCUUGUGAUGCCCAGCAUGAACCAAACACUACAGUACAAAUGCUUGUCUACACACUUUUAGAAGUUCUCACCUGUAGUUACUUACAUUACAUUAGCACGCCUCUAAGUUUGAGAUUUGAUGUGAGCUUUUAUUACUUAAAGAUUAAGUGUUCUGUUCUCCAGAGUAGAGCAGUGAUAACUAGAAUGUAUGUGUGUAAGGUUCUACAGGUUCUGCAGGACCAAGGCUCUUCACCAUCCAUUUGAUAGACGCCAACACAGACAACCUGCCCAAGGCUCACACCUGUUUUAACCGGAUAGACAUCCCUCCCUACGAGUCUUACGAGAAGCUCUAUGAGAAACUGCUGACGGCUGUGGAGGAGACCUGCGGCUUUGCUGUGGAGUGAGGAAUCCACAAGCAAACCAACAGUCACACUUGCGCUUGCACUUGCACACAGACUAUUUGACAUUUUACAUAUAUACACACACAUCAACGGAAUAUCAAGUAUACGCGGAGUAUACGGAGCGGCCAAGCACGCAGUCUCACACGAUCUCUUGCCACCUCUUCACCACCAAACUGUUGGAGGUUAAAGGAGGAAGCACAGCGGGAGAGCAAAGGAUUUAAAAACAAACACAAAAAACAGACAAAAAAAUAAAGUAUUUUAAAAAUGUUCAAACGUUUUGAAGAAGCAUUUUUAUCCUAUAGUUUUAACGAGCUAUGAUGUCAUUCUUCCGAAUGUCUACCGCCACAGCGAAUUUGACUCCCGAGACACUCGAGUCAACGGACAGAAUCGGCCAUUCACAUGCGAGCCUGCAAACAGAGACCUUUUGAAAUCAGACAUGAAGGACACGGCAGAGACUGAUUGUCUUUCUGUCCAACAAGCUGAUUGAUUGACUAGUAUUCAUGCUUCAUGUUUAACCACUGUUGUGUAUCAGAACGUGUGCAUGUACAUGUGAUUGUGUGAGUGUGUGUGGUAGUGAGUGAGUGUGUGAGUGAGUGUGUCGGACAUGGCACCCCGUUACGAUGUAAAAAUGAUCAAAUGAGCCUGCUCCUAUGUUAGCUAACAUUUUUUAUCUCUUCCAUUUGUAUCUGCGACCACUCUGAUCCACUCUGAUAUUUUAUUAUUUAUUACUAAGUGAUUACUGACCAAGCUGCUAUAUGCUCUACAGAGAGCCCACACUAAUCUCUAAAUCACCCCCUCUACCAGAGUUGAAGGGUCAAUUCACUUGCAAUUCAAGUAAUCCACAAAGUGGGUUUUUAUUGAAUUUCGUUUUUUUUUAACAUUCAUAUUAUUGCGGAGAAAUGCUCUUGUCAUUGUAUGAAAAACUGUUAGUGUUUUGGUGUUUGAAAUACCAUGUUACCUUAUUUCAAGUGAAAGGGAUUGAUCCUCCCUGCCGUAAUUUUGAAAUCUAACUCCACUGACGUUAGGGAGAGGUCCGAGGGCUUGAACUAGAUAUUUAACUAAAUGAGCUUUGAGGAUGGAAAGAAGGAGUCAGCUUCAGGAAUUCUUUGGUUGUAUGUGACAUGUAUAAUAAAAUCUCAAAACUUUCUUACAUGUUUCAUCAUCCAUU